CCCCCCCCCCCCCCCCUAUUCAUAGUAAUGAUAAAAAGAAUUAAAUCAAACAUGAGCUUAUUUCAAGUGUGCUUACAAUUAGAAUGCACAUAUGACAGAAAUUGUGAAGAACUAUGAUUCAAAGCAUGUUCAUUAAAAAAAAUAGAUUUACGAGUUAAGCCUAUUUAGUUUCCCAUGUCUAUAAAAUAAAUUAACUCCUUCCCUUCCCUUUGAGUGUAUGUCAUCGUUAAAACAACGUCUAGUAAUUACCAAGUAUUUCUUCUGAACAUCAAAUGGGUUUAUCAAAAAAAACAACAACAUUCCGUUGUAUAAAUCACUUAAAAGAACAAAACCACAUCUUUUUCAGUUCUUUGCAUCUGUUUUUCUUUCAUAGGCCAUCAUCAAAGAUGUGUUUUUGUUGAAUGUGUAGCCUGGCUGAAUUGAGUUUGUCUGGUGAAAGUCAUCAGAAAUGUGUUUUUGUUGAAUGUGUAGACUGGCUUAAUUGAGUUUGUCUGGUGAAAGUCUUCAGAAAUGAAGAGAUGGCCUUAACCUUAACACAUGCUCUUAUAAACCACACAAAGUGAAUGUGGUGUGAAUGCUAAAGUUUUGUCUCACUAAUUGGUAUGAAGAACAAAUUUUGUCCAAACUUUCUGAUGACAUUGUUGUAUGUUGUUUUAUAGGAUGUCAGGAAGGAAUUGUUUUGUUUUUCGUUAAGAUUAAAAUUGUGUCAUUAUGUACAUACAAAAUAGAACAAAAAGAAAUUUUAUAGCAUUUUAGAAAGAUUUGAUUGGUUAAUCUUUUAGUGUUUUCACUGUACAAACUAUCAUAAAACACUCAGUUUGAUUGGUCAAUUUACAUUGUUUUACAUACCAUAUUUUACUGGUUUGAAUGUAAAUAUUUUUUUUUUACUUUUUUUUUAUAUAUUAAGUUUCAAUCAAAUGUUAUUCAACAUUCUGAGUGACAUGUUACAUUUUGAUUGACCAUGGACUGACAGUGGACAUCCCAGACAGUGAAGAUACAAACACUUGGCAUUAUCUUAUUAAGUCAAUCAAUCAGCCAAUCAAAAAUGAAAUUAAUUAAUUGAUGAAUUUGAUAACUGUUUUAAUACAAAAUUCAUAAUACUUGAUUUAAAGUCUUGCUAUCCAUUUGACUUUUAUUCAAUGUGAGUCUUGUUUGAUAAAAGCAUUGACUGCACCUUUGUCCAUAGACUCGUGCGUCACUUUAGGUCAUAGGUCAACACAUGGUUCCAGUCUUAUCUUUAUUGUUUGUGUUCCAUGAUGACAUUUUGUGCUGUACAUACAGAGAAUAGGUUGUGAACAAAGAGGAAUUCAUAGAGUCUGUACUUGACUUUAUAGGACUUAACUUAGUCUGUACUUGCUACUUGACUUUAUAGGAC